rnacentral:rRNA from 1 species
AGUGGACGCUGGCGGUAGGCCUAACACAUGCAAGUCGAACGGCAGCACAGUAAGAGCUUGCUCUUACGGGUGGCGAGUGGCGGACGGGUGAGGAAUACAUCGGAAUCUACUUUUUCGUGGGGGAUAACGUAGGGAAACUUACGCUAAUACCGCAUACGACCUACGGGUGAAAGCAGGGGAUCUUCGGACCUUGCGCGAUUGAAUGAGCCGAUGUCGGAUUAGCUAGUUGGCGGGGUACAGGCCCACCAAGGCGACGAUCCGUAGCUGGUCUGAGAGGAUGAUCAGCCACACAUGAGAUAGGACACGCUCCAGACGCCUGCGGGAAGGAGCAGUAUGAGAUAUUAUACAACGGGCGGUAAGCUGCUCCAGCCAUAGCAAGUAGGAUUAGAAAGCACCCGGAUUGUAAAGACGUGCUGUUGGGAGAGAAACGCUACAGCUUAGCACCGGGCGCGUCUGACGGUACCGAGCGAAUAAGCACCGGCUAACUUCGUG